rnacentral:rRNA from 1 species
ACACAUGCAAGUCGAGGGGCAGCAUGGUCUUAUCUUGCUAAGACUGAUGGCGACCGGCGCACGGGUGAGUAACACGUAUCCAACCUGCCGUCUACUCUUGGACAGCCUUCUGAAAGGAAGAUUAAUACAAGAUGGCAUCAUGAGUCCGCAUGUUCACAUGAUUAAAGGUAUUCCGGUAGACGAUGGGGAUGCGUUCCAUUAGAUAGUAGGCGGGGUAACGGCCCACCUAGUCUUCGAUGGAUAGGGGUUCUGAGAGGAAGGUCCCCCACAUUGGAACUGAGACACGGUCCAAACUCCUACGGGAGGCAGCAGUGAGGAAUAUUGGUCAAUGGGCGAGAGCCUGAACCAGCCAAGUAGCGUGAAGGAUGACUGCCCUAUGGGUUGUAAACUUCUUUUAUAAAGGAAUAAAGUCGGGUAUGGAUACCCGUUUGCAUGUACUUUAUGAAUAAGGAUCGGCUAACUCCGUGCCAGCAGCCGCGGUAAUACGGAGGAUCCGAGCGUUAUCCGGAUUUAUUGGGUUUAAAGGGAGCGUAGAUGGAUGUUUAAGUCAGUUGUGAAAGUUUGCGGCUCAACCGUAAAAUUGCAGUUGAUACUGGAUAUCUUGAGUGCAGUUGAGGCAGGCGGAAUUCGUGGUGUAGCGGUGAAAUGCUUAGAUAUCACGAAGAACUCCGAUUGCGAAGGCAGCCUGCUAAGCUGCAACUGACAUUGAGGCUCGAAAGUGUGGGUAUCAAACAGGAUUAGAUACCCUGGUAGUCCACACGGUAAACGAUGAAUACUCGCUGUUUGCGAUAUACUGCAAGCGGCCAAGCGAAAGCGUUAAGUAUUCCACCUGGGGAGUACGCCGGCAACGGUGAAACUCAAAGGAAUUGACGGGGGCCCGCACAAGCGGAGGAACAUGUGGUUUAAUUCGAUGAUACGCGAGGAACCUUACCCGGGCUUAAAUUGCAGAUGAAUUACGGUGAAAGCCGUAAGCCGCAAGGCAUCUGUGAAGGUGCUGCAUGGUUGUCGUCAGCUCGUGCCGUGAGGUGUCGGCUUAAGUGCCAUAACGAGCGCAACCCUUGUUGUCAGUUACUAACAGGUUCCGCUGAGGACUCUGACAAGACUGCCAUCGUAAGAUGUGAGGAAGGUGGGGAUGACGUCAAAUCAGCACGGCCCUUACGUCCGGGGCUACACACGUGUUACAAUGGGGGGUACAGAGGGCCGCUACCACGCGAGUGGAUGCCAAUCCCCAAAACCUCUCUCAGUUCGGACUGGAGUCUGCAACCCGACUCCACGAAGCUGGAUUCGCUAGUAAUCGCGCAUCAGCCACGGCGCGGUGAAUACGUUCCCGGGCCUUGUACACACCGCCCGUCAAGCCAUGGGAGCCGGGGGUACCUGAAGUGCGUAACCGCGAGGAGCGCCCUAGGGUAAAACUGGUGACUGGGGCUAAAA